CCAUUUUGAGAUGUUAAAUUUGGAGAAAGUCUCUCCAAGAAAACCGACCACUCUGACACCACCAUGCUCAAGAGACCCAUGUUUCCUGUCUAGUGCCUUUCUCCUGGGGUGAAAAAAUAACCUAAGCAAGUCCAUUAAGAGGAAUAGCUGGAUUCUUGCAGGAAAACCAGAAAAGAGGCUCCCUCUUCUUGCUGAAUUUAAGUCUGGAAAAUGUAUGACUGAAAGCGGCAGCCAUUGGCCACCAUAAGCCUGAGAACAAAGCCAGCAUAGACAAGGAAGAACUGAGAGAAGAAAUUGCUUCUUGAUGACAUUGCAUUUUCAUUUUCAUUUUCAUUACAAUAUUAUUAAAAGAGACAAUGCAUUUACUUUUUUAAAAUUAGGUAAUUUUUGAAUUAUUAUUUCCUAAAAUGCAUUUAAUUGGAAUAGUUCUUAAUGGCUUCUCGUCUUCUCAGUCUACCUGAAGAUUCACUGAAUCUAAGGCAAAAAUACAUACGUAGGCUCACAGUUUGUCUAAGUACUUAAAAAUUACAAAUCAAGCUAAAAGCUGUCAAAUAAAAUUUCCCCCCAUAUUUGCCAAAUAUGCCUUCAUAAAGAUGAAAUUAAAAACAUAAAGCUGUUUUUAAAUGACCGAAAAUAAUUGAAAUAUCAGACAGAAUUUAAGUAUUAUUUUAAAAGUAUGGCUAUUCUUCUGAUGGGCUGGUGAAAUUUGGACAGUUAACAAAAAAGAUAUAUAUUAAUUACUAAAGUAUUAUUUCUUUAUUCAAUAUAAUUUACUUUUUGUUUUCUAAUUUUAGCAAAAUUACUAAGUUACUAUAGUUGUAUUUGUACAUAAUUUUAAUUCUAAUGGCAAGGCUGACGUAAAGGAUUAAAAUAAAAUGCAAUCAUAAUCACAAUGUAUUAAACGUAUAUUAUUUCAUAAAAUUCUUAAAAA
rnacentral:lncRNA from 10 species